AUUAUCACCACUCAGCACAAACACUAAAAUUGGAAUAAUACAGAGAUUAGCAUGGCCCCCAUGCAAGGAUGACACAGAAAUUCAUGGAGUGAUCUGUACUUUU
rnacentral:snRNA from 1 species